rnacentral:ncRNA from 1 species
UAAGAACUAAAAUUUCUUUAAGGAUUAUUAUAAUUAGUUUGAUUCUGAUUAUUAUAUUAAUUUUAGGUAGUAUGUACAUGUGAAUUUUUAUUAUUAGUUGAUUUAUUAUUUUGCAGUACUUAAUAUUAUAUAUGAAGUGAUUUUUGAUUUAGAUAUUUCUUUUAUUAUUGUAUAAUUUUGUGCCAGCAUACGCGGUUAUACAAUUGAUAUUAAUUAAUAUUGUUGAUUGUUGAGUUAAAGUUUUAUUUGAUUUAUAAAUUUUUAUUUUUGGGUGGAAUUGAAAUAUUUAUAUUAGAUUUUUUGCUGAUUCUUUUAAAUGCUUAUUUAAACUAGGAUUAGAUACCCUAUUAUUUUGCAUGUAAAAUUUUAAAGUCGGGGUAGUAUUAGUUAUGUUCUUUAAACCCAAAGAAUUUGGCGGUAUUUUAGUCUAUUUAGAGGAAUUUGUCCCUUAAUCGAUAAUCCUCGUUUUAUCUUACUUUUUUUUGUUUUCAGUUUGUAUAUCGCCGUUAUAAGUUUAUUUUUUAAGAAUUUUAAUUUACUUUAUAUUUUAUUUUAUUAUAUUUCAGGUCAAGGUGCAGCUUAUAAUUAAGUGGUGGUGAAUUACAAUAUUAUUUAAUUAAACGGAUUUUUGUUUUAAAAUUUGAUUGAAGGUGGAUUUAAUAGUAAUUUUGAUUAUAAUGUUAAUUUGAUUUUUAGCUCUAGGAUAAGUACAUAUCGCCCGUCACUCUCAAUUUAAUUGAGAUAAGUCGUAACAAAGUAGAUGUACUGGAAAGUGUAUCUAGAAUGAU